ACGAAGGGGGCUAGCGUUGCUCGGAAUUACUGGGCGUAAAGGGCGCGUAGGCGGACAGUUUAGUCAGAGGUGAAAGCCCAGGGCUCAACCUUGGAAUUGCCUUUGAUACUGGCUGUCUUGAGUUCGGGAGAGGUGAGUGGAAUGCCGAGUGUAGAGGUGAAAUUCGUAGAUAUUCGGCGGAACACCAGUGGCGAAGGCGAGUCCCUGGAAAACUCCUGACACUGAGGCACGAAAGCUAGGGGAGCAAACAGGA
rnacentral:rRNA from 1 species